GACGUAGGGCGCGAGCGUUGUCCGGAUUUAUUGGGCGUAAAGAGCUCGUAGGCGGCUCAUUGCGUCAACCGUGAAAACCAGCAGCUCAACUGUUGGCUUGCGGUUGAUACGGGUGGGCUGGAGUUCGGUAGGGGAGACUGGAAUUCCUGGUGUAGCGGUGAAAUGCGCAGAUAUCAGGAGGAACACCGGUGGCGAAGGCGGCUUUCUGGUCCGAUUCUGACGCUGAGGCGCGAAAGCGUGGGGAGCGAUCCGG
rnacentral:rRNA from 1 species